UAAAUCAAAAAUAAGGAAGAAAAAAAAAGAGAAGAAUUCGAACUCUUCCUCCCCUCAACAUUUGUCUAAACCGUUCUCCCCUCUCUCCCCACUCCCUUAAAUCUCUCUCACAUCCAAACCACCCAUCCCUCUAAUUUAGUCAUCAAAAUAAUUCAUUCUUCCUAUUCUAUUCAUUCUCUGCAAUCAAGAAACCAAGACUUCUUCUUCACAACUUCAAUUCAAGAAAUUGGAACCAAAUUCGUGUGAGAGAGAGCUACCUAUUGUCUUUCGAAAUCUGAUCAAGGUGAAUCAUGGCAAGGGAAUCGUGAUCGCAAGGGAAAGAAUGUAAUUUCAAAUUAAGCAC